rnacentral:rRNA from 1 species
UACGAAGGGGGCAAGCGUUAUCCGGAUUUACUGGGUGUAAAGGGAGCGUAGACGGGAUAGCAAGUCUGAAGUGAAAGCCCGGGGCUCAACCCCGGGACUGCUGUGGAAACUGUUGACCUGGAGUGCUGGAGAGGCAAGUGGAAUUCCUAGUGUAGCGGUGAAAUGCGUAGAUAUUAGGAGGAACACCAGUGGCGAAGGCGGCUUGCUGGACAGUGACUGACGUUGAGGCUCGAAAGCGUGGGGAGCAAACAGG